AGGGAAGAAACGGUGGAGGCUAAUAUCCUCUGCUAAUGACGGUACCUGAAGAAUAAGCACCGGCUAACUACGUGCCAGCAGCCGCGGUAAUACGUAGGGUGCAAGCGUUAAUCGGAAUUACUGGGCGUAAAGCGUGCGCAGGCGGUUUUGUAAGUCUGAUGUGAAAUCCCCGGGCUCAACCUGGGAAUUGCAUUGGAGACUGCAAGGCUAGAAUCUGGCAGAGGGGGGUAGAAUUCCACGUGUAGCAGUGAAAUGCGUAGAUAUGUGGAGGAACACCGAUGGCGAAGGCAGCCCCCUGGGUCAAGAUUGACGCUCAUGCACGAAAGCGUGGGGAGCAAACAGGAUUAGAUACCCUGGUAGUCCACGCCCUAAACGAUGUCUACUAGUUGUCGGGUCUUAAUUGACUUGGUAACGCAGCUAACGCGUGAAGUAGACCGCCUGGGGAGUACGGUCGCAAGAUUAAAACUCAAAGGAAUUGACGGGGACCCGCACAAGCGGUGGAUGAUGUGGAUUAAUUCGAUGCAACGCGAAAAACCUUACCUACCCUUGACAUGGCUGGAAUUCCUGAGAGAUUGGGGAGUGCUCGAAAGAGAACCAGUACACAGGUGCUGCAUGGCUGUCGUCAGC
rnacentral:rRNA from 1 species